GAUUUUACCUGAUAGCGGCCGCAGAGUUUGAUCCUGGCUCAGGACGAACGCUGGCGGCGUGCUAACACAUGCAAGUCGAACGGAUAUGUAGAUAAGCUGAUUAUUNAAGCAUAUUAACGGGCGGACGGCCAAUAACACUUGACCCCNUUGUCCUUGGGACGGGAUUAACACACCGAAUGGAACUGGUUAUUCCCCCCCUGGGAACCCCAUUUUGGUGGGUGGGGGGCUUAAGGGGCCCUUCGGUUGGGGGGUUUCCGGCCCUUUACUUAAUUGGGNCCCCGCAAGGGGCCCCGGCCUUACCCG
rnacentral:rRNA from 1 species